GUUAAUUCUUAUAAAUAUAAUUUCUACAUUGUUUGACUUUGUAUAAUUUACUUUGCAAUGAGCAACGACCAUCUUCUCUCCAGGAUUGCUUUAUUUGUUUAAGGAGCUAUAAGCCGAUAACUAUGUCUACAUCUCUUUCUCUCUGUGCUUGUGUAAUGAAGUGUUGCUAUUUAUUUAUGCCAUGUUGCAGCUAUUGGAUCAAAAUUGGUGGUGGACUAAUUUUUUGCUGAAAAUUUCUUUUCCUCAUUUUGUCGAUGAAUUAGUAAGAGUAGUUUUAAUGGUUAUUUUAAAACAUCAAUUUUAUUAAUUCUGUUGUUCAUCUAACUAUGGCUUUAGUCACUAUUUGCUUCUCUUGGGUAAUUGUAACUAUCGAUAAUGUGUGACUGAUAAGUUUUAAUUUGUCUUCCAACUACAGCAUUGUCUAAUUGCACAAAGGUCACCUUGGAUUGAUCACAUAAAAGCUUAUGCCUUAUUGCUGGUAAAGGCCUAAAUCUCCUGAUGGUAGCCUGGUAGGUCACAUCAAAUGCAAUACAUGAGUAAAUGAUAGAAUUGCUAGCCUUCAAUUUGGAAAUGAGCUAAUAAGUAGUUUUACUUUGUACCAGAAAUUUUAAAGGUAGACAGAGAGGCUAACUAAAUAGGAGGUAAUUGCAUUAAUAUACAAAGCUGGAGUCCAUGAGAUAUAUUUAUUUAUUUUCUGUUCUAAUAUCUUAGAUUCCUUUAAGAAAGCAAAGGUUAUGAUUGUAAAACUUAUUACAGUUGAACCAAAAAAGUGAAGCCCUAGGGUGGAAGAGUUUUAAUACUCUGUAUUAUAUCUGUUCUGACAGACAUCCAUUCUUGAAUAUGCAAAUGCCCCUCUUCUCUUCUAGUGUACCACUUAAAAGCCGGAAUCAUUAAAAUUACUCAUUGUUCUUGAGGAGUUAAUUUAUGGACUGUCUACCAGUUGUUUGAUUAGGUCUCAUCAUGAUUGAACUCCACAUGCUGGUGCAAAACUCAAAUUUAGUGGAUAUAUUUUAAGUCCCAUUUGGUCCUGGCUGCAUAAGAAGGAUGUUCUGAUUCCUCUGUUGCUUAUUUUGACUUUCACUUUCUAUCCUAAUUCCUUCAUCAAUUGGAGCAUUAGUUUCCUAACUCUUUCUAUAAGUUUUCUUUUUUUCUCUUCUAUUAAUAUUGACUGCCCCUCUUUUUUUAUCCUUCAUCUGUUUUGUUGAUCCUAGCACAAAGCUUCAGCUACUCCUUAAUGAUGUUGAACAAUCACUGUUUUCUUUAUCAAUUACAAUCUGUAAAUAGCACAUAAUAAUCAAAAAGCAAAAUGGAUAUUUUACUAAACAGGCAUGGCCGUUAUUUUUAUCCUAGCAUGGAGUCUCUACCUCCUUUGUGCAAUUGUCCUGCAGCUAUGAAGAUGCUCAUCAACCUCCUAAUAUCUACAAAGUUGUUGUAAAGCUCUGGAAAUAAUAAAAUAUAUGGGCUAAACUGUAGCAUAAGUCAUUCAAUUGAUUGAGCCUGCCUACCUUUUGUCUUGGUGGACUUUGCUCAGUGAUAAUCAUCAGCCAUGACACAUGAUGGAGCGGUUGUAUAUUAGAAGCAAAAUUUAUGAUCAUUUUCUUUGUUCUGGUGCAUUUUGUCAGGGGUGAGAAAAUGCAUCAACCAAAACUGACGGGAGAAAAUUUGGUCAGAUGGAAUGCAUAUGGAGCAUUAAAGGAUGGAUGACUCUACAAGCAACAGAGACGCACAAUAAAAGAUCAAUGUCUCCACUAAGUUUGGUAAGACGGUUGCGAGGUGGGUGAUGAACCUCUUAAAUGGAUAGCUGAUGCUUUGAAGUAUUACUUUAUCAGAUUGUGAAUGCAAAGGAUGUGAUUACAUAUGAUUUAGAAUCAUUCUGCAUGCUACUAAAUAAAGCUACAUAAUGUUAUGAUA